rnacentral:rRNA from 1 species
CGGGGAAUUCCGAGACAGGUGCUGCAUGGCUGUCGUCAGCUCGUGCCGUGAGAUGUUGGGUUAAGUCCCGCAACGAGCGCAACCCUGCAUCCAGUUGCCAUCGGGCGAGCCGGGCGACUCUGGAGGGACUGCCGGCGACAAGCCGGAGGAAGGUGGGGAGUGACGUCAAGUCAUCAUGGCCCUUAUGUCCAGGGCGACACACGUGCUACAAUGGCCGGCACAGCGGGAAGCGGAGGGGCGACCCUGAGCGGAUCCCUUGAAAGCCGGUCCCAGUUCGGAUUGCAGUCUGCAACUCGACUGCAUGAAGUUGGAAUCGCUAGUAAUCGCGGAUCAGCCAAGCCGCGGUGAAUACGUUCCCGGGCCUU